UGUGGGAUCUUCCCAGACCAGGGCUCGAACCCGUGUCCCCUGCGUUGGCAGGCGGAUUCUUAACCACUGCGCCACCAGGGAAGCGCUAGGAUGGUUUUAAUCAUUAGCCAGGACUGUGCAAUGGGGCCUUUUCUGAUGUUGCAUUUUUCUUGUGGAGAAUAAGCAGUUUGAUUAAUCGCAUUCCCAGUCCUUAAGGCCACGUCUGAGUCGCUAAUGCAUUUCAAAAGAGCAGCGAUAACAUAGCAAAGCAGUAAGGGUGGGGGGGUGCUGCCAAGCCUGCCUCGUUCCAAGAGGGCUGCUUGGAUCCAAACCUCUGCUCUAUCAGUCAGCCUCCCAGCAGGAAACAGACAGUGUGCUCAGAGGGGCUGACUGAAGAGAGUUUAAUGAAGGAACUCUGUGCAGAGGUGUAGCAGGAUGCAGGGUGUGGUGAAGUCCCUCCAGGGCUAGCAAUAGCUGGAAGCCACUACCAGCCCAGGGCCGGAAGGAGCAAAAGGAGGGACUGUUUCAGAAGUAGUGAGAGCUGUAGCUGUAGGAGAGGGCGCCGGACAGGAGGUGUGGGCUUCGGGACAGGAGCACAGGGUGGAGGAGAAGGUAAUGGCUCUGGACGGGCAAGUGGCAGCUGCCCAGCAGAGCCACCUAAGGCCACACCAGAGCUAGGUUCCCCAAUAGGACCUGGCUUAGAGAAUGCCUUCACCUGCCCUCUGACCCCUCAGCGCAUCCCAUUUGCUGGCAUUUAGCCUCCCCAUCUUCAGGGUCACCACACCCUUCACCUGGUCCAAGGACUUCACUGAAAAACAAGGCAAUUGUGUGCUCAGAAUAGACUUGCGUGUCCUCGACCAGAGAUGAUUUCUGCCCCCAGGGGACAUUUGGCAGUGUCUGCAGACAUUUUUGAUGGUCACAACUUGGGUUCCUGGAACCUAGUGGAUAGAAGCUGGGGAUGCUGCUAAACACCUACAAUGCACAGGACAGGCCCCCAGCGACAGCGCUAUCUGGCCAAAACGUCAUGGUGCUGAGGUGAGAAACCGUAUUUUAAACUGCUCUGGCCUUCUGUCACAGGCUGGGCCUCCCUCUCUGUUCCUCCAUCAGCCUCCAGCCGGGCCCUUCCUCCCACCCUCUAAUCCAGCCUCCAGCCAGGGCAGCUCCCAGCCCUCUCGCCAAUCAAGGCUGCGCGCUUUGGGCUGAAUCUCAGUGGUGUCCCCAGUACCUGGACCUCUUCCUGCGGCUGGCACCAGUAGUUCUCUUAUAUUCCCAUCUCGCUCCCAGGCUGCAGACCAUCCUUUCACAGCCGAGCCGAGCCCUGGAGCCCCAGCUCUUGUAUCCGCACCCCCCACACACUCUCCUUCCCCUCCUUCCUCUCCUCUCUAAGGCCAUCUGACCUCCAGACCCUGUUCCUGGAACCCCUCUCCAGCCUCAGCGACCCUCCCAGUAAUUUUCUCUCUCUUCCAAUUGAGAAUUCUUCCACCCCUUGUAAACAUCAUGGAACAAAGCAGACUUCUAGAGCUAGCCAAGGUCACACUCAAAGCUAUUCAUACCCUUUCUCCCCUUAUUUCGCCGGGAGUGCCCUCCCCACAGAACACACACUUUGAUCUCACAGAUGCUGUGGGUCUUGGGAGCUGCUGAGCCAGUGUCUUGCACAGGCUUCCGGGCUGAAAGCUUAGGAAGGUCUCUGCCAAAGGUAUUCCUCAAAACCCGGAAAAGCAAGCAGGGCAGGUGGCCCCCGGGCCCCCAGCAUGAGCUCGCCGUCUCACUGCCCACCUCCAGGCAACCAAGCCGCGCCCUCCCAGCCCCGGGGGUGGGCCCGGAAGGGAGAGCGGGGUGACUGCGCCGGCCCGCCCCUCACUGCAGCCCCACCAGCUCUGUGAUGGGAGGGGUCUGCACCAUGAGCUCCUCGUAGUGGUGGAGAAACAUCCGGAAGCGAGCCAGGGAGGUGACCAUCCCUGGAAAUGGCCCAGAACUGAGUGCUGAGCUGCUGGCCUCCCGUGAAGACCUUCGUCUCCAGCUCCCACAUCCGCCUGCCUCGACACGUGUGUGCUGGGUCCUCUGCGAUGGCCCUUGGGCUUAUCACAGUAAGAGCCCUGGAGCUCAUCAGCCUUGAACAUCAACUCUCAGGGAUCCACGACCACAGAGUGGCAGCCAGUCAAAGCAACUGCGUCCACUUGGCGUGCAAAUCAGUUGGCGUGCACAGCCCCCCGUGACUGCAGCCUGCAAGCUUGAGGAUCGGACACACUGCAGGUAAAACUCCUGGCAUGUGUUGCCAUUUAUUUUGUGAGGGUUUAUCUUUGAAACGUCUGUACCUUCAUAACACUGCUUUGCAUUCGGGGCCCACAGCAGUGGGGGCAGGGGGGCAGGAGUGGCCUGGGGGCGAAGAAAGGCCAUCUUCUGAACUGUCCAUGAGGGUGCCCCGGUGAGGACCAAGAGUUCACUUCUUCCUAGGGGUGACUCUUCCCUGGCGUGACCCACUGUGGGAUUCUCUGAAGCUGGCAGUGAGCGGCAGCAGCUCAGACUCCAAGAGCAGUCAUUCUGAAUGUAAAAGAGGCGCUAAGGUGUUUCUUAUGCAAAUAUAUGCAAAUGAACAUGCAGCCAUCAGCCUCUUCCAGUAUUUUAUCCAAGCCAGAAGAUGUUGCUAAUUUUAUUGAAGAUGCUGCCUGCCUGUUUCCAGGAGGACGUGAAGGGUUUCCCGAUGCCAGUCACUGUGAGCCCCACACAGACAGCAGAACACACUCAGUUGAGUGUUCAGCAUUCUGCACAUUACACAUGUAACUCAUUAAUCUUAAGCCUGGCAGGGUGUGGGGGGGUUAUUAUUAUUAUUAUAAGUGCUGUUAUUAUUCACAGCUGACAGAAGCAGAAACUGAGAUAGAGGCCACAUGCCCACCCCAGCUCACUCAGCUAAGUAGGUGGCAGAAGUGGGAUUUGAACCCUGGUUCCAUCCAAGAUAAGGCAUAAAACCCCUGGGGUGAGUCACUGCAACAGAGCAUGAACCCAGGCUUAGAGUCCAGGCAGAAGAGACAAAACCGCGAGAAGACAGAUAAGGAACGACACUGUCUUCCCACUGUCUGCAGAGACUCUCUCCCUUGGAACGAAAUGAAGCCGAAAAGUAGGAUAUGAUGUCACAACAGCAGUUCCAUAACAGACAGGGGAAGACAGUCAAAGCAACACAGUACGGGCCCCUCUCAAGGCAGAGGACGUGAAGGUAAAUGCUGAUUCAGCGGCGGUGUGGAGUUCACAAAAACAGGAGAGGCGCUUUGCUCCCAGAUGAUGGAACCCGCAGAGGGGUGGGUUUUAUCUCUGGUUUCGGAACCUUGCAAAGGGACAGAACCUGGGGGAGGCUGCAGAAGGUGGGCAGGUAGCCUGUCAGUUAAAGUGAUGUCUCUUCCAGGCCUGCUGGUCUGGAAGGACCUGCUGCUCAAGAGGGCCAGGCAGUUGGUUCAACAAAGGGGCCUCCGCCGGGGUCUGCCAGGACCUCCUCAGAGGCCAGCCUGCCUCUCUCCAAGGCCUGCAAGUGUGUUUUGAAUCUCACGGUUCUAUAACCAGAAGAAGCGACUGUUUUUAACUGCUCCUUCCUCAUACUUCUGCUCUGAGGGCCGAUCCUGUCUGCUUCUUUCUUCAAGAAAUGUCAGCUGAAUGCAGCGAUCUGCUCUCCCCUCUGGCCCAAGCUCCACAUCUCCUCGCUGACCGCACUUUGAGUAGCAAGGCCAGAAACGCCCUGGGGCCUGAACCCUACCAAGCCUGGUAAGAACUUGACCCUCAGGGGCCUGGUAGGGCCAGGUGCUCAGCCACGUGCCCAGACCUGGGAAUGGGGUCCGGGGAGGGGAUGGGCCACCUGUGUGGUCUGACGUAACACAUGAUUUGUGACUCAGCACAGGCUUCCAGAGUCUGUGUGCUUUGCCUUUUUAUAUAACUAAGAAGAGAUCUGAGGCUGUUUCUGUGAGACUGGAAUUCUCCCUCCCAUCUAGAUGUUCUUUCCAGAAGAAGAAGGAACGCGGUGGGUUUGGGAGAAGGCGAGAUUGGACACGGACUGCGGUGUGUCUCACUUGCACCCAUCAAGGGGCGGGAGGAGGUAGCCACGGGCCACAGAUGAUCCCGCCGCACAGGAUUAUUCACAGGUCUCACCCACGAGGAUUUCCCAUCCAGACCCAGAGAAAGUUCCAGAAGCUUCUUGAUAUUGCUACCCUCUGUACCCUCAGGAAGACUUAAGAGCCUAGACCUCUUAGCCGCACUCAGGCUCUGCAAGUGGCCAGAGUGUGUGCGGGGCGGAUGUCGGUAUGAUGCCUCUGGACAUCCCCUCUCAGCUAAAAUCAGAGGCCCAGGCCUCUCAUUCACUCAUUUAGUUGUUUUUUCACUUAAGCAUCCUCAGACCUCUGCCAGCAGCCAAAGGUCGUUAUCUAAUAUUCUCCUCUUUUAUCUUUUACACAAACAAUACUUUGCAGGAUUAAAAACCAUCAUUAUAAGAUUAUGACACAAACUUGGGUUUCAAAUAGGUCACUUUACUGGAUUGGAAGGGGAGGGGCAGGACGAGGCAGGUGACGGCCGGAGGCUGUAGGUGUGGCCACUGGGGGAGGUGAGGAGUGGGCGGAGGAGGAGGCAUCAACACAAGGGCCAAGCUUCCAGCUCAAGGCCCGGCGCAGGGUGGGGUCACUCCAGAGAUGGGGCAGGAGAAGAGGGCCACAGGCAUGGACCAGCUGAGAAAGAGGGGCUGGGGGUCGUCACAGCGGCAGCAUCCCUCAGGCAGGAGGGACUCCAGGUUGGAGUCUGCCCAGCUUCCAUCCCUCCC